rnacentral:rRNA from 1 species
UACGUCGGUGUCGAGCGUUGUCCGGAUUUAUUGGGCGUAAAGCGCCCGCAGGCGGCCAUGCAAGCCCAGGGUGAAAUCUCCCGGCUCAACCGGGAGGGUGCCCUGGAAACUGCUUGGCUUGAGGCAGGGAGAGGGAUGUGGAAUUCCCGGUGUAGUGGUGAAAUGCGUAGAUAUCGGGAGGAACGCAAGUGGCGAAGGCGGCAUCCUGGCCCUGUCCUGUCGCUCCGGGGUGAAAGCGUGGGGAGCAAACCGG